CAACACUGUAAAUUAAAGCAGGAACAACAACAAGCCCCGCCGCCGCCAAGCACAGCGGCCCCGUAAAACACUGCAGAAGAACUCUAUAGAGGCAACCAGCCCCCAAAACACUGCCAGGACAACAAAAACACACACGCCGAGGCUGCCGCCGUGAAGUAUAUAUCACUAGAGGCAACCAGCCUCUAAAACACUCCCUCUGCACCUCACCGCAUCCAUGGCCAGGCUCCACACCCACGGGCCAGCGCUGGGGACCUGCUGGCCAGCGACACCCUCAGCCCCAACACUGCCUUCCGCACCCUCAAGUGUACACAGACCUUCUUACAGAAGUCCGGCCAGCCUGACAGGAUCCCCACCCUGGUGACAGAACGACACACUAACAACAGCCUCCAUGGCCCCCUGAAACACUCCAGAAGAAGAAGCAUGAGUACCCCGGACAAGCAGGAGCAGACUGCUGCAGGGGGCAGGAGGGUCAGUGGUCACCAGAUGAAGCAACUUGCUGCUGGCAACUCCAGCAACAAAGGAGAGAGGAAGUUUGUGUGUCUGGAGUGUGGAAAAGAAUUCACCAGAAGGGAAGGCCUCGGAUAUCACACCCUUAUUCACACUGGUGUGAAGAACUAUGAAUGUAAGGAAUGUGGGAAAAAAUUCAUCAAGAAGAGUAACCUUGAUAGACACACCCUUACACACACUGGUGUGAAGAACUAUGAAUGUAAGGAAUGUGGGAAAAAAUUCAUCCACAAGAGUCACCUUGAUAGACACACCCUUACACACACUGGUGUGAAGAACUAUGAAUGUAAGGAAUGUGGGAAACAUUUCAGCCAGAAGGGUCACCUUGAUACACACACCCUUAGACACACUGAUGUGAAGAACUAUGAAUGUAAGGAAUGUGGGAAAAAAUUCAUCCAGAAGGGUAACCUUGAUACACACACCCUUACACACACUGGUGUGAAGAACUAUGAAUGUAAGGAAUGUGGGAAAAAAUUCAUCAAGAAGGGUAACCUUGAUACACACACCCUUACACACACUGGUGCAAAAAGUCAUGAGUGUGAAGAGUGCGGGAAAAGGUUCAGUAGGAAGCAGACACUCAAUGAACACGUCUUCAGGCACUAUGGCCUUAGAGAGUUCAAGUGUGAUGUUUGUGGAAAGUUCUUUAAGAUAAAGAAAGACAUUGCCAGGCACAUGAAGAUCCAUUUCUGAAGUGUGUUUGCCUUCAGUAGUUAUAGUGACGAAGGUGUUAGCAGCAGCUGAGCCUGAUGGGGAAAGGGAAGUGAAGGAGAGGUAAAAGUGAUCUUGUAAGACAAGGAAGAAAGAAGGCUUGCCUGUGAAGUGAUAAAAGGAGAGGAGCCACAGCAAGAAGAGGAAGGGAAAUACUGAUGGCUGACUUUCCACAGCUGUGGCAGCUGCACCUGGGCCUGGAGCCUGGUUGAGUCUCACAGCUACAGUGAAUUACUUACUCCUCUGUGAGGUGAGGGGCAAGAGAAUGUCACCUAACACUAAAAUAGCUGGAACAUGUAUUUAUAAACCAUUGCUGCAGCAAAAGAAUCAAUGCCUUACAGUGGUGUGCUUCACCCAAGAGUACCACAGAUGCAAGUGCUUCUAACACCUCUCCGGCCAUUGUACUGCCCUGCCUCAGAAGUGUCUAAGACGAGCUUCAAAACAUGUCCUGUGUUGUGGAGGGGUGCAGUGGUCAGGGGCCCAGGCUGCUGACUGGAGGCGCGACAGUUUGCGCUUCUCCCCGGGCAGCCGUUGGUGGGAUUGGUCAGCCCUUGCCCGCACUGGGCUGCCUGACAAUGAUGCUCUGUCCCCCUCCCUUGGGCUGUGUCCCCAACAAACAGUGAACAAGUAAGUGAAGGAAUAAACAGCUCUGAAUGCCACACCCUGCUGCCUCUCUGCUGACUGAGAGAGAAGCAGACAGCCCAUGCAGUGACACAAGAUCACAGAGGUGACAGCAUCAGGAAGGUUGUUGCUGCUGCAUGGAGGCAGGGUGUGCUGGUCUGUGCCUCCCUCACCCUGUUCCCGCCUGGACUGCCUCUGAGUGGCCGUGGCAGUACAGUUUCCCGACGUUCCUCACAAAGGGUCCUUCAGGCGUAAGAAGCUGGAGGAGAUGAAGGCACACUGGUCGAGGCUGCAGAGUGCCCCCACCGGUGUCAGUAACCCAACAGCCACCGGAGAGUAGAGUCACAGCCGCCAGUGUACGUAGUGUCUGUGUUGGGCUGGCCGGGUUAUUGUAGACACAGCGCCACGCCAAAGAUUCCCAAGUGUUGUAGUGACGUUUGUCCAACGAUGGAAGCCACUCCAUGGAUGAGGUACAAACCUUGAAGUCCAGCUUCAAGAUGCCGGGAGUUUCUAACAGGAAGAAACAUGAGAUAUGGGAACAAAUAGCCGAGGAGUUGAAUAACUCAUUCAACAACUACAGGACCUCGGCUGAAGUGAAGAAACGCUGGUUCUUCAUAAGUUCCCGGUCUCGGCAAAAAAUCCAGCGAUUCCGUGAGGAACGGAAUAGGACAGGUGGUGGUCCUCCUCCCCCUCCACUGGAUCCCAUUGACGAACUAAUUGAGGAUAUUCUGGGACCAGACAGCAAAACAAUAAUGGGUGAGCCUCAAGUCGAUGAUCUGAUGGAUGUCUGCGUGCUGACAUAAAGGACGUGAGACCUGCUGCAGGAGGAGCAACAGCAGAUCCGUUGGUCGGUAUCAAUAGCCACGAAUCUGCAGAUGCACCAACUGUAAUAUAUGUUGAUGCAUCUGCAGAAGAAGCGCUUCCCAAUUAAUCCACACACUCAGAAGAUACCACCACGGGACAAAUGGGAGCUGUAAAGGCAGUGGAGUCUGCUGCCCAGGAACACAAGGCAGCUGCUCAGG